AGAGAAGUUUACUCUGGAAAUCAGACGCUUUUACAGAGAGCCAUUACAGAAAGGUAACAUCCAAGAAAUGAAUGAAAUACAGAUGACAUCCACUCCUGCUUGUUGCCAAGUUAUACUCUCUUUGCAGUGGAAAAACACAAGAAUUACCAGUGGAACUGCUUAAGACUGCGCUUACGUCUCUCCGUGCAAAGCUUCCCUGUCACAUCCCUGAAGGAAUAAAAUAUUUCUAUACAAGUGCAAGACAAGAAAAAUCCCUCCUUAGGACUGCAUUCCUGAAAUUCAAGAAAGAAAUUCUCACAGGCUAUAUUUGUAUUCCUAUCAAAGAAGGGCCAGGGACCAGCUGCUGGUCCCCAGGUCAUGUGGCACAGAUUGGAUCAUGUCCAGCUUGCUAAGGCCUAUGUUCCUUUGUGACAGAUUUGUCUCCGAAACAGCUAGUCAAGAGCAGUCCAAAGCAGAGCCAGAAAUUAAGCUGGUAAAUAAACAGUGUGAAUGAUCAAGUUUCAGUGUACACUCGCUGCCUUUUUUAUUUAGCAGCACGGGUGCAACACCAGAAAGCUCCAGAGUAUGGAAGCUGCUUCUGCUGUUACCUUUGACCAAUUAAGAGUUAACUUUUGGAUCAAUUUUGAAGCCCCUUUUUGGAACAUUAAAGCUGAUUAAAUUAA